rnacentral:rRNA from 1 species
GUGAGGAAUAUUGGUCAAUGGAGGCAACUCUGAACCAGCCAUGCCGCGUGCAGGAAGACGGUCCUAUGGAUUGUAAACUGCUUUUAUUUAGGAAUAAACCCCCGGUCGUGCACCGGGGCUGAAUGUACUAAAAGAAUAAGCACCGGCUAACUCCGUGCCAGCAGCCGCGGUAAUACGGAGGGUGCAAGCGUUAUCCGGAAUCAUUGGGUUUAAAGGGUCCGCAGGCGGGUAAAUAAGUCAGAGGUGAAAUCCGGCAGCUCAACUGUCGCACUGCCUUUGAUACUGUUUAUCUUGAAUUUUAGUGGAGUGGGCGGAAUAUGUCAUGUAGCGGUGAAAUGCUUAGAUAUGACGUGGAACACCGAUAGCGAAGGCAGCUCACUAACUAUGAAUUGACGCUCAUGGACGAAAGCGUGGGUAGCAAACAGGAUUAGAAACCCUGGUAGUCC